UGGGGGAUCGUCUAAUGGUAGGACAACGGACUCUGACUCCGUUUAUCUAGGUUCGAAUCCUAGUCCCCCAGCCA
rnacentral:tRNA from 3 species